UCUUUUGUAGGUUAUAUAAAUUAAACCUCCGAUUUGUGGUGUCGGCAAAUCCUUUUAGGACGAAAGA
rnacentral:tRNA from 1 species